GNAUUUAUUGGGCGUAAAGGGAGCGCAGGCGGUCAGGAAAGUCUGGAGUAAAAGGCUAUGGNUCAACCAAAGUGUGCUCUGGAAACUNUCUGACUUGAGUGCAGAAGGGGAGAGUGGAAUUCCAUGUGUAGCGGUGAAAUGCGUAGAUAUAUGGAGGAACACCAGUGGCGAAAGCGGCUCUCUGGUCUGUCACUGACGCUGAGGCUCGAAAGCGUGGGUAGCGAACAGGAUUAGAUACCCUGGUAGUNCACGCCGUAAACGAUGAGUGCUAGGUGUUAGGCCCUUUCCGGGGCUUAGUGCCGGAGCUAACGCAAUAAGCACUCCGCCUGGGGAGUACGACCGCAAGGUUGAAACUCAAAGGAAUUGACGGGGGCCCGCACAAGCGGUGGAGCAUGUGGUUUAAUUCGAAGCAACGCGAAGAACCUUACCAGGUCUUGACAUCCCGAUGCUAUUCUUAGAGAUAGGAAGUUACUUCGGUACAUCGGAGACAGGUGGUGCAUGGUUGUCGUCAGCUCGUGUCGUGAGAUGUUGGGUUAAGUCCCGCAACGAGCGCAACCCUUAUUGUUAGUUGCCAUCAUUAAGUUGGGCACUCUAGCGAGUCUGCCGGUAAUAAACCGGAGGAAGGUGGGGAUGACGUCAAAUCAUCAUGCCCCUUAUGACCUGGGCUACACACGUGCUACAAUGGUCGGUACAACGAGUUGCGAGCCGGUGACGGCAAGCUAAUCUCUGAAAGCCGAUCUCAGUUCGGAUUGGAGGCUGCAACUCGCCUCCAUGAAGUCGGAAUCGCUAGUAAUCGCGGAUCAGCACGCCGCGGUGAAUACGUUCCCGGGCCUUGUACACACCGCCCGUCACACCACGAGAGUUUGUAACACCCGAAGUCGGUGAGGUANCCUUUUAGGG
rnacentral:rRNA from 1 species